rnacentral:rRNA from 1 species
UACGGAGGGUGCGAGCGUUGUCCGGAUUUAUUGGGUUUAAAGGGUGCGUAGGUGGUAUGGUAAGUCUGGUUUGAAAGCUGGUCGCUUAACGAUCAGAUGUGGCUGGAAACUGCUGUACUUGAAUGCGGUGGCGGUAGCUGGAACGGGUCAUGUAGCGGUGAAAUGCAUAGAUAUGACCCAGAACCCCGAUUGCGAAGGCAGGCUACUACGCCGUGAUUGACACUGAGGCACGAGAGCAUGGGUAGCGAACAGG